GUGCUGCAUGGCUGUCGUCAGCUCGUGUCGUGAGAUGUUGGGUUAAGUCCCGCAACGAGCGCAACCCUCGCCCUUAGUUGCCAGCAUUUGGUUGGGCACUCUAGGGGGACUGCCGGUGAUAAGCCGAGAGGAAGGUGGGGAUGACGUCAAGUCCUCAUGGCCCUUACGGGCUGGGCUACACACGUGCUACAAUGGUGGUGACAGUGGGCAGCGAGACCGCGAGGUCGAG
rnacentral:rRNA from 1 species